rnacentral:rRNA from 1 species
AGAACGAACGCUGGCGGCAUGCCUAAUACAUGCAAGUCGAACGAACACUUCGGUGUUAGUGGCGCACGGGUGCGUAACGCGUGGGAAUCUGCCCUUGGGUUCGGAAUAACAGUUGGAACGACUGCUAAUACCGGAUGAUAUCGAAAGAUCGAAGAUUUAUACGCCCGAGGGAUGAGCCCGCGUAGGAUUAGCUAGUUGGUGAGGUAAAGGCUCACCAAGGCGACGAUCCUUAGCUGGUCUGAGAGGAUGAUCAGCCACACUGGGACUGAGACACGGCCCUAGACUCCUACGGGAGGCAGUCAGGUAGGGAAUAUUGGACAAGUGGGCGCAAGCCUGAUCCAGUCGAAUCGCCGCGUGAGGUAGAAGUAAGGUUUUCGGAUACGUAAAGCUUCGU